CAUACCAACGUGUUGUACCUAUAUUCCGACUGUUGAUUUUACAUUUUUAUGUAUGUGUUUGUAUCGCGCCAAAAUAGUCACAGCGUCCGUUUUGAAAGAGAGCAUAGUCAUUCUGUGUGUAGCUCUCGAGCCAAGCGUUUCUAUCAGCUCUUAAACAUAAUAUUUUCAACAGUUUUUUUUUUUUCAAAAGAGUGUGUUUUAUUAAAAAUGGAGGGAAAAAAGGAAGAGUUGAUGCACAAAUCUUUACUGUAUCGGCCACUUCUUGAUAUGUCCACAAAUGAGAAUCAGAUAAUUCAUUUAAUCGACAACGACCUCAUCAGACGACUUUUAUUCGGAUCGCCGCCAUUGGAAACUUCUGAUCAAGUGCCAUCGGUUUCAACCAAUGCCAGGUCGACAAAUCGUUUUGUGGAUAGAACAACAGUGGUUGACACCUCCAAAAAGAGAUGUCCAAACUGUUUGUACGAUUUCAAUAAUUACGCAUUGCACGAACACAAAAAAAUCGAAAGUGGAUGCUGUUUAUGUCGAACCAAAUUUGAUAGCCACGAAGAACUCCGCGAUCAUCUUUUGAAAUUUGCGGCCAAUUUUCUAUGUUGCAUUUGUGGAACACAUCAAUGUGAUGACGAAGAAAAAUAUUACCGUCACGUCAAAAAUUACUGUUACUACAAAAACAAAAAGUAAAGAAAAAAAGAACAAUUCACCGGCGCCAAACUGAUUGAGGGGGAGAAAAAUGCAAAACCAUCAACGAUUUUACUAAGCUGACAACGACACAAAAAUCGGCAUGAAUGCUGCUGCUUUGUGGAAGACACAGUCUCAACGACAAUAAACAAUCCAACAUUUUGUGCGAACUGCGAUUUUUUUUUGUUCUAUCGCCAUUCCAAAAUUCAGUGAAAUAAAUAUUUCAGUCAACGACGUCGA